AUUGAACGCUGGCGGCAGGCCUAACACAUGCAAGUCGAACGAGUGGCGGACGGGUGAGUAAUGUCUGGGAAACUGCCUGAUGGAGGGGGAUAACUACUGGAAACGGUAGCUAAUACCGCCUACCAUCGGAUGUGCCCAGAUGGGAUUAGCUAGUAGGUGGGGUAAAGGCUCACCUAGGCGACGAUCCCUAGCUGGUCUGAGAGGGUGACCAGCCACUCUGGAACUGAGACACGGUCCUGCGUCCUACGCGAGGACGCGGUGGGGCAUUUUGCCCAAUGGCCGCAAGCCUGAUGCAGCGAUGCCGCGUGUAUGAAGAAGGCCUUCGGGUUUUAAAGUUCUUUCAGCGUGGAGGCGUUAGCCGCAGAAGAAGCACCGGCUAACUCCGUGCCAGCAGCCGCGGUAAUUC
rnacentral:rRNA from 1 species